rnacentral:rRNA from 1 species
CCUACGGGAGUCUGCAGUGAUGAAUAUUGGUCAAUGGGCGGGAGCCUGAACCAGCCAAGUCGCGUGCGGGAUGACGGCCCUAUGGGUUGUCAACCUCUUUUGCCGGGGAGCAAAGUGCCGCACGUGUGCGGUUUGGAGAGUACCCGGAGAAAAAGCAUCGGCUAACUCCGUACCAGCAGCCGCGGUAAUACGGGGGAUGCGAGCGUUAUCCGGAUUUAUUGGGUUUAAAGGGUGGGUCGGCGUGCGCUUAAGUCAGUGGUAAAAUUGCGGGGCUCAACCUCGCCGAGCCGUUGAAACUGGGUGCCUUGAGUGGGCGAGAAGUACGCGGAAUGCGUGGUGUAGCGGGGAAAUGCAUAGAUAUCACACAGAACGCCGAUUGCGAAGGCAGCGUACCGGCGCCCAACUGACGCUGAAGCACGAAGGCGUGGGUAUCGAACAGGAUUAGAUACCCCUGUAGUC